AGUGGCGGACGGGUGAGUAACGCGUAAGAAUCUAACUUCAGGACGGGGACAACAGUUGGAAACGACUGCUAAUACCCGAUGUGCCGGGAGGUGAAACCUAAUUGGCCUGAAGAAGAGCUUGCGUCUGAUUAGCUAGUUGGUGGGGUAAAGGCCUACCAAGGCGACGAUCAGUAGCUGGUCUGAGAGGAUGAGCAGCCACACUGGGACUGAGACACGGCCCAGACUCCUACGGGAGGCAGCAGUGGGGAAUUUUCCGCAAUGGGCGAAAGCCUGACGGAGCAACGCCGCGUGAGGGAGGAAGGUCUUUGGAUUGUAAACCUCUUUUCUCAAGGAAGAAGUUCUGACGGUACUUGAGGAAUCAGCCUCGGCUAACUCCGUGCCAGCAGCCGCGGUAAUACGGGGGAGGCAAGCGUUAUCCGGAAUUAUUGGGCGUAAAGCGUCCGCAGGUGGUCAGCCAAGUCUGCUGUCAAAUCAGGUUGCUUAACGACCUAAAGGCGGUGGAAACUGGCAGACUAGAGAGCAGUAGGGGUAGCAGGAAUUCCCAGUGUAGCGGUGAAAUGCGUAGAGAUUGGGAAGAACAUCGGUGGCGAAAGCGUGCUACUGGGCUGUAUCUGACACUCAGGGACGAAAGCUAGGGGAGCGAAAGGGAUUAGAUACCCCUGUAGUCCUAGCCGUAAACGAUGGAUACUAGGCGUGGCUU
rnacentral:rRNA from 1 species